GACGAACGCUGGCGGCGUGCCUAACACAUGCAAGUCGAACGGAAAGGCCCUGCUUGCAGGGUACUCGAGUGGCGAACGGGUGAGUAACACGUGGGUGAUCUGCCCUGCACUUCGGGAUAAGCCUGGGAAACUGGGUCUAAUACCGGAUAGGAGCCAUUUUUAGUGUGAUGGUUGGAAAGUUUUUUCGGUGUAGGAUGAGCUCGCGGCCUAUCAGCUUGUUGGUGGGGUAAUGGCCUACCAAGGCGGCGACGGGUAGCCGGCCUGAGAGGGUGGACGGCCACAUUGGGACUGAGAUACGGCCCAGACUCCUACGGGAGGCAGCAGUGGGGAAUAUUGCACAAUGGGCGCAAGCCUGAUGCAGCGACGCCGCGUGGGGGAUGACGGCCUUCGGGUUGUAAACUCCUUUCGCUAGGGACGAAGCUUUUUGUGACGGUACCUAGAUAAGAAGCACCGGCUAACUACGUGCCAGCAGCCGCGGUAAUACGUAGGGUGCGAGCGUUGUCCGGAACUACUGGGCGUAAAGGGCUCGUAGGUGGUUUGUCGCGUCGUCUGUGAAAUUCCGGGGCUUAACUCCGGGCGUGCAGGCGAUACGGGCAUAACUUGAGUACUGUAGGGGUAACUGGAAUUCCUGGUGUAGCGGUGAAAUGCGCAGAUAUCAGGAGGAACACCGAUGGCGAAGGCAGGUUACUGGGCAGUUACUGACGCUGAGGAGCGAAAGCAUGGGUAGCGAACA
rnacentral:rRNA from 1 species